rnacentral:rRNA from 1 species
GACUUCGGUCUGGUUCCAAGUGAAAUUGAACUAUUUAGCUGAUCGCAGCACCGGCGACAUAUCCUUCAAAUGUCUGCCUUAUCAACUUUCGAUGGUAGAUUAUGCGCCUACCAUGGUUGUAACGGGUAACGGAGAAUCAGGGUUUGAUUCCGGAGAGGGAGCCUGAGAAAUGGCUACCACAU